UUUUUUGACUCUGACCUCAAAUCAGUAGAUUCCCAA
rnacentral:rRNA from 1 species